GACUUCCCUGAUCUGCCAGCUGUGGACUGGGGGACAUCAAGGGGGCUGUGGCCCCUCCAGCCCAGAGGGCCCCACCUGAGGAUAGGAGGGUCUCACCUGAGGAUAGGAGGGACCCACCUGAGGAUAGGAGGGGCUCACCUGAGGAUAGCAGGGGCUCACCUGAGGAUAGGAGGGACCCACCUGAGGAUAGGAGGGGCUCACCUGAGGAUAAGAGGGGCUCACCUGAGGAUAGGAGGGGCUCACCUGAGGAUAGGAGGGACCCACCUGAGGAUAGGAGGGGCUCACCUGAGGAUAGCAGGGGCUCACCUGAGGAUAGGAGGGACCCACCUGAGGAUAGGAGGGGCUCACCUGCUGGGGCUGCUUACCUGGCCUUGUGGCUCUCAGGCCUGUUGUGCCCUGAGGGGGCAUCCCUGAACACUGGCUCCUGUUUGCCCUCCUGGGGCGGGGCAGGAACUCGGUGGUGACUCUGGACGUGUGCCUGGGGCCUGGGCUUUCUCAUGCAGGAGCUCACUGGCUGCAGAAUGUAGCUGAGGAAGGCAGGGCAGGGACUGUUUACUCCUCAGGGGAAACCGAGGCCCAAGGUCUUAGCUCCCGCACACACCCAGGCAGAAGGCUUCACUCCACCUGGGCUCUGCCGCGGGCCCCUAGGCCCAGGCUCCUUGGCGCGGGGAAGGCAAGGAUGAUGCUCAGGUUUGUCUCCCGCCCCCUCCGCCUUGCAGAUUGCAGAAGGGGCCAGUUUGGGCCCAGCUGCACCCUGCACUGUGACUGCGGGGGUGGGGCUGACUGCGACCCUGUCAGUGGGCAGUGUCACUGUGUGGAUGGCUACAUGGGGCCCACGUGCCGGGAAGGUGGGCCCCUCCGGCUCCCCGAGAACCCGUCCUUAGCCCAGGGCUCAGCGGGCACACUGCCCGCCUCCAGCAGACCCACAUCCCGGAGCGGUGGACCAGCGAGGCACUAGUAGAGGCAGUCCCGUGGAGCCCGCCUCUCCAGUCCCAGCCAGAGGGGACCCUGGCCUUUGGUGACCACUGAGAAGGACACUUCACGGGCCCAGAGCUCCUGGUACUGCCCUUCCUUUGAGGGCCGUGGAGGGCUGUGGACAGCCCAGCAACCUGUCGCUCUUGGAGGCUGGUGUGGCCUUGAGGAGGGAAGCCUCGCAUGGCCGCUGGAAGAGAGG
rnacentral:lncRNA from 1 species